rnacentral:rRNA from 1 species
CACGUAGGGCGCAAGCGUUGUCCGGAAUUAUUGGGCGUAAAGAGCUCGUAGGCGGUUUGUCGCGUCUGCUGUGAAAACUCGAGGCUCAACCUCGAGACGUCGGUUGAAACCGUACGGCUAGAGUCCGGAAGAGGAGAGUGGAAUUCCCGGUGUAGCGGUGAAAUGCGCAGAUAUCGGGAAGAACACCCGUGGCGAAGGCGGCUCUCUGGGACGGUACUGACGCUGAGACGCGAAAGCGUGGGGAGCGAACAGG